GACGAGUUAGUAGGGUUGUUGGCUUAGCACGAUCCGAUCUUUUCCCUUGCGUCCGUCGUCUUACCCUUAUGAUUGUCUUCAAAUUUCGUUGUGCGAUCUGUUGCGGUGUUCAUAUGUGGAUUGGGAGCUGAGGAACUCGUCCGAAACCCUACUUUCGACGAAGGAAAAUAUUAGGGUUCGGUGGUGGCUGUUGAGAACAAGAACUGUAAUGGGUUUUUGAAGCCGCAAGAAUCUCCUUGCCAAGGUUUGAUCACUUACAGGAGGCGGAAGCGUGCAAGGUCCGGGCCGGAUGCGGCUAAGGUACCACCCGGCGCUAACGGUCAGCAGCCACAACAGUGCAAACGUGAAGCCUCAGGGAUGACAUGGUGCACUCAACAUGAUACCUCGGACUCGGAUGGGGCGACUAUCUGCUCCCACAUUGUCCGAGACCGUACAAGACGAUACCGUAUAGUACAAAAGGAACUCGACGAGGAAAGAGCGAUAACCCGACGAGGGAGGAAGAACAAUUUCUUGCUCUACCUUGGAUUGAUUCUAGAGGCAAAGCCUAGACCCAACCUAACGUCGACCACCCUCGUUCGAGCAGUCACAUGGGUUCACACUCGGGAUCGAACUAAGCCAUGCUGAUCCAUCAGCUAUGACAUAAAGUUACUCAACACGAUGCUUUGCAAUAAUACAUUAAUAUAAAGGUGAAAUAGCAUGGGUGAUUUUAAUCAUGAUAGGAUGAAGAGAUCUAUUCAAGAAGUGGAAACCUACGAGUCAUUCAUAAAAAGGCAUAGCAUUUUAGUUCUUACUCUAAA